CCCUUAGAUGUCCGGGGCUGCACGCGCGCUACACUGUAGAAAGCAGCGUGCUUUAAAACCUUUCCUGAAAAGGAUGGGUAACCCCAGCAAAAUUCUACGUGCUUGGGAUAGAGAUUUGCAAUUUUCUCUCUUGAACGAGGAAUUCCUAGUAAGCGCAAGUCAACAGCUUGCGUUGAUUACGUCCCUGCCCUUUGUACACACCGCCCGUCGCUACUACUGAUUGGAUGUUUAAGCGAGGUUCUCGAACUGCUAGCGACUUAGCUUCGGUGAGGUCGCAGUGUGGGAAGUGAACCUAGCUUUGGUGUCUAGAGGAAGUAAAAGUCGUAACA
rnacentral:rRNA from 1 species